rnacentral:ribozyme from 1 species
AUGCAUUAAAAAAAAAAAAAAAAAAAAAAAACGUUUUCACGCUAUUAUUUUUACUUCCACCAGCUCAAA